GUUUGUAUGUGGAGAUGGCAUUUAAAUGCAAGUAUGCAUUUAUGUGUAGUGUUGGUUUAUGAAUACACUGGUGUGUUUAUAUAUAAUUUUGUUGUUUAAAAAAAGGUGUGUUUAUAUGUAGUGUUGAAGUUUGAAUGCAGGUGUGUAGUGUUGAAUGCUGAGAUGUAUGCACAAAUACACAUGCACUGUCACAAACACACACACAC